rnacentral:rRNA from 1 species
CGCGUGGGUAACCUGCCCUGUACACACGGAUAACAUACCGAAAGGUAUGCUAAUACGAGAUAAUAUGCUUUUAUCGCAUGGUAGAAGUAUCAAAGCUCCGGCGGUACAGGAUGGACCCGCGUCUGAUUAGCUAGUUGGUAAGGUAACGGCUUACCAAGGCGACGAUCAGUAGCCGACCUGAGAGGGUGAUCGGCCACAUUGGAACUGAGACACGGUCCAAACUCCUACGGGAGGCAGCAGUGGGGAAUAUUGCACAAUGGGCGAAAGCCUGAUGCAGCAACGCCGCGUGAGCGAUGAAGGCCUUCGGGUCGUAAAGCUCUGUCCUCAAGGAAGAUAAUGACGGUACUUGAGGAGGAAGCCCCGGCUAACUACGUG